UUUGUCCUUUAGGCCAAAUCCAGUUAGAUUUUUUGGUUAACUAUGGUCAUGUGCCUUGCACAUGAGGGACAUUCUUGUCAUUUCAUUUUUUAGGGGUUAUUAUGUAAAUAAAUUAUAUUCAGGGUCUAUUUUAUAAAAGUAAAAAAGAUAAAUAAUUAAAAGGGUAAAUAAAAGAACUAUCCUCUCUCUCUAUCCCUCUCACAAGAUCUGAACUCACUCCCUCUCUCUCUAAAAUCAUCCUCUCCAUCUCUGUUCUUUCUUUAUAUCACACGAUCUCUAAGGGAGGAUGUGACGGGUUGUGGUUGUGGGUUUGGUUGCAGGUGGGUGGGUAUUAUGGGCGGCGGUGGCUGGUGGGUGUUAGGGGCGGUGGUGGCGGGUGGGUGUUAGGGGCGGCGGUGGCGGGUGGGUGUUAGGGGCGGCGGUGGCGGGUGGGUGUUUGCAACCAUGUAUGAUUCCAGUAAUGUAGUAAAGAUACCAAACACAAAUACUGAGAUCGAAGACGCCGGCAUUUCAAUUGCCACCGGAGACGCCGGUAUUUCAAUCGCCACCGGAGACGGCGGAGCUCUGUUUUUUGAGAUAUUUUACUUUUUAGUUAAACCGGAAGGUUUCAGGUGCGAUUGCCGCUUGGUUAUUGUUUAAUUUGUUGCAAUUCUAUAGCAAUUGAAGACCGAUACGUAAAUAAGAACAGUUACUGAUAAUAUA